GCCAGGCGCAGUAACACGUGCCUGUAGUCCCAGCUACUCGGGAGGCUGAGGUGGGAGGAUCGCUUGAGCCCAGGAGUUCUGGGCUGUAGGGUGCUAUGCCGAUUGGGUGUCCGCACUAAGUUUGGCAUCAAUAUGGUGACCUCCUGGGAGCGGCGACCACCAGGUUGCCUAAGGAGGGGUGAACCAGCCCAGGUCCGAAAAAAAGAACUAUGCUAAAUCUACUCUGCGAUCUAUCAGUGAAGUAAUAAAGCCUGAAUGACAGCACAUCUGUUUACAGCAUGGUUUACUGACUAUUUUA
ensembl:misc_RNA Metazoa_SRP Metazoan signal recognition particle RNA